GACGAACGCUGGCGGCGUGCUUAAAACAUGCAAGUCGAACGGACUUCUCAUGAAGCUUGCGAUUGAGAAGUUAGUGGCGGACGGGUGAGUAACGCGUGGGCAACCUGCCCCUGAGCCCGGGAUAACAGUUCGAAAGGACUGCUAAGACCGGAUAUACUUGCGGGGAAGCAUUUCACUGCAAGGAAAGGGAACGCUCAGGGAUGGGCCCGCGUCCCAUUAGCUAGUUGGUGAGGUAACGGCCCACCAAGGCGACGAUGGGUAGCCGGCCUGAGAGGGUGAACGGCCACACUGGGACUGAGACACGGCCCAGACUCCUACGGGAGGCAGCAGUCGGGAAUCUUCGGCAAUGGGCGCAAGCCUGACCGAGCAACGCCGCGUGAGUGAUGAAGGUUUUCGGAUUGUAAAGCUCUGUCUUCCGGGACGAUAAUGACGGUACCGGAGGAGGAAGCCACGGCUAACUACGUG
rnacentral:rRNA from 1 species